rnacentral:rRNA from 1 species
GUCGACAACAGAGUUUGAUCAUGGCUCAGAUUGAACGCUGGCGGCAGGCCUAACACAUGCAAGUCGAACGGUAACAGGAAGCAGCUUGCUGCUUCGCUGACGAGUGGCGGACGGGUGAGUAAUGUCUGGGAAACUGCCUGAUGGAGGGGGAUAACUACUGGAAACGGUAGCUAAUACCGCAUAACGUCGCAAGACCAAAGAGGGGGACCUUCGGGCCUCUUGCCAUCGGAUGUGCCCAGAUGGGAUUAGCUAGUAGGUGGGGUAACGGCUCACCUAGGCGACGAUCCCUAGCUGGUCUGAGAGGAUGACCAGCCACACUGGAACUGAGACACGGUCCAGACUCCUACGGGAGGCAGCAGUGGGGAAUAUUGCACAAUGGGCGCAAGCCUGAUGCAGCCAUGCCGCGUGUAUGAAGAAGGCCUUCGGGUUGUAAAGAACCGUCCUUAGCGAGGAAGGGAGUAAAGUUAAUAUCUUUGCUCAUUGACGUUACCCGCAGAAGAAGCACCGGCUAACUCCGUGCCAGCAGCCGCGGUAAUACGGAGGGUGCAAGCGUUAAUCGGAAUUACUGGGCGUAAAGCGCACGCAGGCGGUUUGUUAAGUCAGAUGUGAAAUCCCCGGGCUCAACCUGGGAACUGCAUCUGAUACUGGCAAGCUUGAGUCUCGUAGAGGGGGGUAGAAUUCCAGGUGUAUCGGUGAAAUGCGUAGAGAUCUGGAGGAAUACCGGUGGCGAAGGCGGCCCCCUGGACGAAGACUGACGCUCAGGUGCGAAAGCGUGGCGAGCAAACAGGAUUAGAUACCCUGAUAGUCCACGCCGUAAACGAUGUCGACUUGGAGGUUGUGCCCUUGAGGCAUGGCUUCCGGGAGCUAACGCGUUAAGUCGACCGCCUGGGKAGUACGGCCGCAAGGUUAAAACUCAAAUGAAUUGACGGGGGCCCGCACAAGCGGUGGAGCAUGUGGUUUAAUUCGAUGCAACGCGAAGAACCUUACCUGGUCUUGACAUCCACAGAACUUUCCAGAGAUGGAUUGGUGCCUUCGGGAACUGUGAGACAGGUGCUGCAUGGCUGUCGUCAGCUCGUGUUGUGAAAUGUUGGGUUAAGUCCCGCAACGAGCGCAACCCUUAUCCUUUGUUGCCAGCGGUCCGGCCGGGAACUCAAAGGAGACUGCCAGUGAUAAACUGGAGGAAGGUGGGGAUGACGUCAAGUCAUCAUGGCCCUUACGACCAGGGCUACACACGUGCUACAAUGGCGCAUACAAAGAGAAGCGACCUCGCGAGAGCAAGCGGACCUCAUAAAGCGCGUCGUAGUCCGGAUUGGAGUCUGCAACUCGACUCCAUGAAGUCGGAAUCGCUAGUAAUCGUGGAUCAGAAUGCCACGGUGAAUACGUUCCCGGGCCUUGUACACACCGCCCGUCACACCAUGGGAGUGGGUUGCAAAAGAAGUAGGUAGCUUAACCUUCGGGAGGGCGCUUACCACUUUGUGAUUCAUGACUGGGGUGAAGUCGUAACAAGGUAACCGUA